rnacentral:rRNA from 1 species
GACGAACGCUGGCGGCGUGCUUAACACAUGCAAGUCGAACGGAAAGGCCCUGCUUUUGUGGGGUGCUCGAGUGGCGAACGGGUGAGUAACACGUGAGUAACCUGCCCUUGACUUUGGGAUAACUUCAGGAAACUGGGGCUAAUACCGGAUAGGAGCUCCUGCUGCAUGGUGGGGGCUGGAAAGUUUCGGCGGUUGGGGAUGGACUCGCGGCUUAUCAGCUUGUUGGUGGGGUAGUGGCUUACCAAGGCUUUGACGGGUAGCCGGCCUGAGAGGGUGACCGGCCACGUUGGGACGGAGAUACGGCCCAGACUCCAACGGGAGGCAGCAGUGGGGAAUAUUGCACAAUGGGCGGAAGCCUGAUGCAGCAACGCCGCGUGCGGGAUGACGGCCUUCGGGUUGUAAACCGCUUUCGCCUGUGACGAAGCGUGAGUGACGGUAAUGGGUAAAGAAGCACCGGCUAACUACGUG